rnacentral:rRNA from 1 species
UACGUAGGGGGCAAGCGUUGUCCGGAAUUAUUGGGCGUAAAGAGCGCGUAGGCGGUCCGAUAAGUCGGCUGUGAAAGUCGGGGGCUCAACCCUCGAAUGCCGGUGGAUACUGUCGGGCUAGAGUGCGGAAGAGGCGAGUGGAAUUCCUGGUGUAGCGGUGAAAUGCGCAGAUAUCAGGAGGAACACCUAUUGCGAAGGCAGCUCGCUGGGACGUUACUGACGCUGAGACGCGAAAGCGUGGGGAGCAAACAGG